UACAGAGGGGGCAAGCGUUGUUCGGAAUUACUGGGCGUAAAGGGCGCGUAGGCGGCCUUCUAAGUCGAACGUGAAAUCCCCGGGCUCAACCCGGGAACUGCGUCCGAUACUGGAAGGCUUGAAUCCGGGAGAGGGAUGUGGAAUUCCAGGUGUAGCGGUGAAAUGCGUAGAUAUCUGGAGGAACACCGGUGGCGAAGGCGACAUCCUGGACCGGUAUUGACGCUGACGGCGCGAAAGCCAGGGGAGCAAAGCGG
rnacentral:rRNA from 1 species